CUUACAAUCAGAAUGAAUUCUAGCAGACAGAUUCUCCUCUUACUUUGUCUCAGGCAGAGAAAUCAGUCACAAUAGGUGGAAAUUAGAUCUUUGUCUUUGCUUUUCGUAAAGAAAUGUGAUUGCCUGCCUUCCUCAAUUUGAGACGUUGCCUGAAAUCAUGGAAGAUAUGGUCAAGGUCACGUCAGCCUGUGGUGAUCAAAGUGUGCUUUCAGAACUUAGCCUUUAAUCCUGGAGUUCUACGUGAGUGUUUCCAAGAACAUCAAAGUCUACUUGUUUGAUCUCCACGCCUACCAUCUUCAUAUAAAUUUUGCUGGACUCAUCAAGGACACAAGGGAUUAGAAAGCUACAUUUAUACAAUUCAAAGGCCUCAUAUUGCAGAGAAAGUAGAAAGGAUUUGGGACCGAGGAUUACUCAACUUGGAGACUAAACACCUCAGGGAUCCUCAAUAAGCCUAUUGCUAUAAGCAAGCCAAAAACCUUAGCAUUCUUUGACAAAACACUGUUAAGACUAUCUUAAGAAACAAAGAGGAGGGAGGGCUAUCCGCAACAGCUAGAGAGUUAGCUCAGCACAGGCUGAGAGUUGUUAACAGUGCAGGCUGCUUUUGCAGAGGAACUAGGUUCAACUCCCAACACCCACAUGGCAGCUCUAAUUCCAGUCCAAGGGGAGCCAAUACUUUCUUCUGCUCAUAUAUACAUGAGCAAAAUGCUCAUACACAUAAGAUAAUUAAAUAAAUCAAAAAAUAACUAAAAAAAAAGGAACAAAGAGAAAUUUGUUCCUCCUGCAGAAGCCAAGGAUAGACUUUGCUCAUCUUCAUCCAGGUCCAAAUGAUACCACGAGAUUUGUCUUGUGUCCAUCUCACUGCUCUACAAUCUUCUGUGAUGGUGAAAUUCUCAGAUUCCUCUUGUGCCCUGAUGACAUCACAGAACACGGUAUCACAAACUGCGCCCUUCAAAUUACAAGUCUAUUUUGACCAAGACGUCUCUCCCUCCGUCCUGCCGUUUUCUUGUUCACUGUCCACGACUUGGUGUUUUCAGCUCGAGGUUGCACAUGCCACUCGAGAUUCGGGGAAGGUCCUUAGUGAUUAAAACCUUGUACAAUCAUCAGGGACAUAAGUAGAAGUAACUCGGUCCUCAGCAUCCAGUGGGAGGGGCAGAUAAAGCAUCUUGUCCCGUGAGUGUGUCUGAGAAAUGUUUACAGACAGAAAUUGGGGAUAGGAGAUCAUCCCCAAGAGAAGUGCGAGAAAAUUCAGUUGCCAGGAAGUAACGAAAGGAACUUUUUAAGUGUCUGGGAAGCACAGUAACUUUAACUCUAGACACUGUGGCUCUGCUUUCUAUUACUCUAAUCCCCUUAAGGCCUCACCUAUGUCUAAUACAUCUUUGGUAACUCCAAACCUAACUUAACCUAAUAACUUGGCAUAACGUAUAUUCAAUAAAUAUUUUCUGAGUUAAUAACA
rnacentral:lncRNA from 1 species